rnacentral:rRNA from 1 species
CCCCAGACUCCUACGGGAGGCAGCAGUGGGGGAUAUUGCACAAUGGGGGAAACCCUGAUGCAGCGACGCCGCGUGGGCGAAGAAGUAUUUCGGUAUGUAAAGCCCUAUCAGCAGGGAAGAAGAAAUGACGGUACCUGAGUAAGAAGCACCGGCUAAAUACGUGCCAGCAGCCGCGGUAAUACGUAGGGGGCAAGCGUUAUCCGGAUUUACUGGGUGUAAAGGGAGCGUAGACGGCAGUGCAAGUCUGGAGUGAAAGCCCGGGGCCCAACCCCGGGACUGCUCUGGGAACUGUGCGGCUGGAGUGCGGGAGGGGCAGGCGGAACUCCUGGUGUAGCGGUGAAAUGCGUAGAUAUUAGGAGGAACACCAGUGGCGAAGGCGGCCUGCUGGACGAUGACUGACGUUGAGGCUCGAAAGCGUGGGGAGCAAACAGGAUUAGAUACCCCCGUA